CAGCAGCGACACCCGCAUCCUCGGCGGGGACGGCGGCGGCGGAGCGCGGGGUGCGAGCCCGCCCGGCCCCGGGGCAGGAGGCGGGAAGGGGCAGAGUUGGUCCAAGCCUGGAGUUUCCAAGCAGCAACAGUCUCACUUAUGACAAGAAAGAGGUCCAUGGCAGCAGCAAGCGCCAAUUGGUAAUAACCAGCUGCAUCAAAGGGGUCCUGAAAUAAGAGGCUCAAAGAUAGUACAACCAGUGCAAGAGGACUGCAGAGCUCAGGUUUACUUCCUCUUUGGCUUAGCAGUGAGCUUCCCAGGAAAUGAGCAUGCAAAAUAACUCCAGGUGUCUAGAAGCUGAA